UGCUCGCGUGAAGGAUGGCAGUGGAAAUCCUUUUAUGUAGUGCAACGAAAUAAAAGAUUGCAACGUACAGCCUGACGCUGC
rnacentral:sRNA from 1 species